GGGGAUGUAGCUCAAUGGUAGAGUCUCUGAUUGGGAAUGCGGAAGUUUCCUGGUUCAAUCUCAGGCAUCUCCA
rnacentral:tRNA from 1 species